rnacentral:rRNA from 1 species
GAAAGCAUCUAAGCAUGAAGCCCCCCUCAAGAUGAGAUUUCCCAUUCCGCAAGGAAGUAAGAUCCCUGAAAGAUGAUCAGGUUGAUAGGUCUGAGGUGGAAGCGUGGUGACACGUGGAGCUGACAGAUACUAAUAGAUCGAGGACUUAACCUAU